GGGGGAGUAACCCAGCGGCGAGGGUAGCGGUCUGUAAAACCGUGACAAAGAAACAUCGUAGGUUCGAGUCCUACCUCCCCCA
rnacentral:tRNA from 1 species